AGCAGCCGCCGCGGUAAUACGUAGGUGGCAAGCGUUGUCCGGAAUUAUUGGGCGUAAAGCGCGCGCAGGCGGAUCAGUUAGUCUGUCUUAAAAGUUCGGGGCUUAACCCCGUGAUGGGAUGGAAACUGCUGAUCUAGAGUAUCGGAGAGGAAAGUGGAAUUCCUAGUGUAGCGGUGAAAUGCGUAGAUAUUAGGAAGAACACCAGUGGCGAAGGCGACUUUCUGGACGAAAACUGACGCUGAGGCGCGAAAGCCAGGGGAGCGAGCGGGAUUAGAUACCCCCGUAGUCCCUGUCUCUUAUACA
rnacentral:rRNA from 1 species